GCUCUGGUAAUGGGCAAGAGCAGGCUCUGGUGAGAGGGACACUCACCCAAGUGCCAUAUCUUUCAGGACCUCUCCUGGGUCUCCUCUCUCCCUGAGCACCUGGCUUGGAGCGCUUCAGCUCAGGACGAGGAGGGAGAGAUUUAAAUUGGCCGAUUUCAUCUGGAAUGUGCCUGGCCUCUGGCAAUCCACACACAACAAAUGAGUGUCCCCAGGAGCUGUGACAGGGAGACUGGCAGGGGAAUGGGCCCAGUCCUCCACGCAGCACAGCGACGGGUCCUGAGCCUCCAGACACUAAUGCUUGAAGGACGCCGUUCCGCAAGGCCUGGCCGGGGAGGACUCGAGGAAACCGCAGUGAGAGUGGCUUCAGAUGAUGGAACCACAACUAAGAGAUGUUCACCAACUUGUCCAAGGCCACAGGCACACAAACAGCUGGAAUUUGAACUCACACCUGGAUGCCUCUAGCCUCACGAUCUCCUCACAGUCCCUGCCACCUCUCCCCUCAACCUCUAACAGUGAUCGAACAUUUAAGAAUUUGUAAAAUACU